rnacentral:rRNA from 1 species
AUUGAACGCUGGCGGCAGGCCUAACACAUGCAAGUCGAGCGGAGCGACGGACGGACGGGUAAUGCCUAGGAAUCUGCCUUGUAGUGGGGGAUAACGUCCGGCAACGGGCGCUCAUACCACAUCCUAUCAGAUGAGCCUAGGUCGGAAUGGCUAGUUGGUUGGUUAAAGGCGUACCAAGGCGACGAUCCGUAACUGGUCUGAGAGGAUGAUCAGUCAAACUGGAACUGGGACACGGUCCAGACUCCUACGGGAGGCAGCAGUGGGGAAUAUUGGACAAUGGGCGAAAGCCUGAUCCAGCCAUGCCGCGUGUGUGAAGAAGGUCUUCGGAUUGUAAAGCACUUUAAGUUGGGAGGCGUUACCAACAGAAUAAGCACCGGCUAACUUCGUGCCAGCAGCCGCGGUAAUUC